UUGGUACAGUCGUUAUAAAGUGUCUCGAAGUCCUGCCUGGAGAUGAGUUUGCAGCGGUUGACGCCGGGCUGGAUGGCCCCGAGUCCCCGGAGCACUCGGACCUGCUCCACGUUGCACACCACCGGCGUGAUGUCCAGCCGCUUGAGCUUGGUGUAGACGGUGUGCAGCCCGCCCACCAGGUGCUUGAGGAAGACGUCGAAGGCCUGCGGCAGGCAGAUGAGCUCCGUGUCUCUGACGGUGAACGACGCCAGCUUGGCGCCCUUCACCUCCACCAGCCGGCACUCGUUGUUCUGUGCAGUGCUCUCCACCGGCGACGGCGUGGCGUAAACGGGCUUGCCGGGGCCACCGGACACGGGGCCGACCUUGAGCUGGGUUCCGUUCGGGAGUAAGAAGUCCGCCCGGAAAUGGUGAAGCAGCGUCGGGCGCGCCGCCGGAGGAGCCGGGGAGGAAGUGGCGGAGGUGGCCGCGGGUGGCGGCGAGUGAGCGGCCGGAGAGGCGGAACUCUGCGCCGGGUGGUGACCGAGCGGAGCCACGGGGAGCAGCGUCGGAGCGGCCGGAGUUGUCGUCGCCAUGCCGGUGCUGGUCACAGGGCAGUAAAACGGCUGAUCAAACAAAACAGAAGUAAUGGACCCGCUAGCUGCGGAAGCUAGCUCUCCAAUCAGCUCAACGGACUCAAUAACUCCACGGUGACGUUUUGCAAUCGCCUCUCGUGACGGUCUCACUCUUCGGGUUGCUUUUCAGCCAUCCGCUCUCGCUCGUGCUUGGGUUUUCUCUUCUCCAUCAACCACUCCAACUUCUCCAACCUCUCCCUUCCCGGCUGGUGCCCUUUGAGAGAGUGACAGGUGAUCAGAUAAACGCGCCCAGGUGGGCCAUCUACGCACCUGUCGCCGGCCCCGGAAUGGUCUUCUUUUCUCAUGGAAUAAUUUUUGGUUGUUCCCGUCAGGUGAAAGUAUUCUGCAGGGGUGUCCAAAUUGGCCGGCGAGGCAGCACGAGAUCAUACAUGAUAAGACCUGUAUCCAUAUCAAAUAUAAAUAUAAGGUGUUGUGAUCGGUGGGAUUUUGCUGCCAUCUAGUGGCGAACAAAAGCAACUUUGCCUUUAAUUCAUCUUCUUAACGGCUGAAGUGGAGAAUUUACUUAUAUGACCUAAUCCAAACAACCUUCCAUAGUCACGAUGCAGGAAAAAAACCAAACAACCAGCACAAAAAUUCAACAAACAUGGUCACACAUAACACAACUUGCUCAUUGAACUUUUAUUUUAUAUGUCCAAUCAGCAUUAAAAAUCUAAAUUACACCCAUUGAAAUAAAUUGUAAAGGAUUAUGGGAAAAAUGCAAAACUCUCUCCACACUUAUCCAUGUUAGGCACAUUUUAGCUGCUUGAUAUUUCUGAUUGAUUACAAAACCUUGAGGUCGUCACGCAAGUAAACAAGGUAGGAGUUGAACUUUCACAUACCGUAAAUUCCGGACUAUAAGCCGCACCGGACUAUAAGCCGCACCAGCUAAAUUUAGGGGCAAAUACAGAUUGCUCCAUAUAUAAGCCGCACCCGACUAUAAGCCGCAGGGUUUUGAUGUGUAAUUAGCGUAGUAUAUAGGGGUUCCUGCUACCA